AAAAUUUAAAAUCUGUUCACACCAAAAAUUGAUUGUGUGUCAUAAGAUGAUCCUAAGGAACUCACCAGGAAAAUAGUUAAAUAAACAAACUAAAGUGUGGACAACAGUAUGUAGUUUGGUAGACUGACAAAUCCAAGUGUGACCCCACAAAUAUAUGGAGAUCUUUUACUGCAUACAGAGCUCAUGUACAUGUAUUAGAUGAUAUAAAUUUGCAGCUAAAGAUAUUGCUGCUAGAUAUAAAAUUAUAGAUACAAGUAGCCUAAUAUUAAAACCCAACUUCUGGAAACAGGCAACCAAGUAGUAAUUAAUAGCCAAAUCAAAACUUGAUAAUCCCCUAUACAAACUUUGAGUAUGAACUGAUAUUUCCAUUGUUGGACCCUUGUUUGAGACACUUCUAGCAUUUUGUUGAUUCGGAGCAAAAGAUAGAUCAUAUUCCACAUGCAAGUUGAAGCAGAUACUGAUGGCAAUUAACAGAAACCAAGUAAGAUGCUUCAGGACGAUUGGAAGAAUCAGAUGUGCACACUAUUAACUCCAAACUACCACUGAAUUCAAGUUCAAACUGAAAGCUGCCACAAAGACCAAAUCAAGCAAUAUGCUUCAUGAUCAGGAUUAAUCAGAAGUCCAAACCGUCCGGGAAGCAGACGAUCCAUUUGCUUCACCAAGUACCCCCACCAACUGACGUUUUGCUAGGAUUUCCAACUCUACAAUCUUCCAAUAAAACCUCCAACAGUGCCUAUCAAUAAUGAACAGCCCAAAUGUAAUCGGCAUACUUAAAAGUUUCUUCAAGGAAAGUCAGACCAUAAUUAGAACUGGACAAUGAGUCAAAACAAGGAUGGAGCAUAGGUACUUCCUCUGUACCAAAAUAAGUGUUGUGGUUUUAGUCCUCCUCUAUCCAGAAAGAAGAUCCUAAACAAGCUUUUAGAACUCUUCACCUCUGCGGAUCAGUUUGAAUACUCGAGACUUAAACAGCUAAUUGGUUUUCAUGUGAAAUCAGAAGGUCUCCAAACAAAUUAUCACGUAGCAUGACAUCAGAUUUCUUUUGUAAAAUUGUCAAGUACACCUGCAAUGAACAUAAGACUGCCUAACCAUUUUGGAGAAAGCUGUUCAACAUCAAAAACAUGUGAACAAAUAUAGCAAGGGAGAUAGGGAUAAGCCUGGUUUAGCGAAGUUAUGAACAUUCGUUUGAAUUAUCCUCAUUGUAUGCCACAUCUGCAUAGAACUAGGAGUUACUGACAAGAUCGAAUCACGAAGAAUCUCCUAGAGCACCAUUCCAAUUAUUGAGCCAAAAAGUAGUCCGGGCAAGCCUAGGCUCAAAUGCUGGAGAACAACCAAAAAUCCAAAUAAUACUCAGAACAGAAACCAAACUGCUCACAUGGAGAAAUCAAAUAGGAGAACCAAACAGUCCAGUCAUGCCUCAAGACACUUAUGAAUCCUCAACCAUGCAGGCAUGACCAACAGAAACCAAAAAGGUGACACAUUUUGAAUGGCUACAAGCAUGGUUUGAUCAAUGCUACAAGCAAAAGGCAACCAAGACAACAGAAGUUUCUUCAGGAGAUUACUCAGCAUAAGAUAAUUUUUCAGUUGUAGAGAGCACCGAGUUUUUUAGGUUGUAGGAUGUCCCAUCUAGACUGAAGCCCCAGAGAAACCUUCGAAUCUAUCUAUCCAACAAAUCAAUCUGAAUGUUCAAAUUGUCUCCAUAAGAUAAUUUAUAUGUUGAACAAAUUGCAAUGAAUUGCAAAGGUGUAGGGCUUAGAAGAUCUUCAAACAGAUAACUCCAUCAGGUUGGACCUAAAUAGUCAAUUAGGACCUGCAACGACCAAGAGACCUUCUCAUGAAUUUUUGCUUUGGGGAGACGGAGCUAUUAUAUCCUGCAAACCACACUUGCAGAAGACCAAUAGAACACAGGGAUCAAGAGUUAAAGGUAACAAAUCGAACAACGGAGAGCUAGAUCGCAAACCAAAAAUAUUAGAACAGAUUCCGCGUCAUUACCCACAUGGUCUGGGCUAAAAAAGAAAAUCAGGAACCACAGGAAGGGCAGGAGCAAAACCCUAUAUCAAAGACAUGGCCAAGUAGCUAAAUGAAAUUAAAAGAAAGAUGGCAAGAGUCUUCUUUCGGUUGUAGGAUGAGCCAUUAGUCAAAAGCUUCGGAUUAUCCUUAGAUUCGUGCACCUUUGCAUAUGAAUCUGUAUUAUAAAAUAUUACCUAGUAAGAUAAUUUGUAGGUUAUGUAAGAUGCAACGAACUGAAGGUAUACUAGUAGAUUUAGGAGAUCUGCAAACAGAUUAAUCAUCAGGUUGGGCUCGAGUUUCGUCAACUACAACCUGCAACGAGCAAGAGACCUUUCCAUAAAUUUUCAGUUAGGGGAAAUGUUACUUAUAAAUAGCUAAAGCAUGGAUCAAAUGAUGGGCUGGAACAAGUAAUACUGUCUCGGAUAGGAAGUAUAGCUAUGGUUGACGGACGACAACACCACCAGUUCCAAACUGCAGUUAUAUCCUUUCUAUGUCGGUAUCUGCAAGAUAUGAGAAUUACCAACUAAGGCAGAGAAAACCUAAUGUCAUGAGAGUUCAAUAAGGUUGAAAAAGUUUAAGCCACAGAAGGAACCGCCAUGCUGAUGCAAAAUAGGACCGCCCACUAGGCUGUGUAAUUCCAAUUUCUGGACAACCAUCAACAGAUCACUAUCAGAAUUGUUGGGAGUUAUGUACUUUGUCACUCAUGUAAGAAAUAAAGAUGAAAUUUAGCGACAAUUUGAUGCUUAAAACUUUGUCAACAGGGCAUGUUUGAUUCUUCUUUGUUGUUUACCAGCAAAGCAAAGCACGCCUGGCCCUUCUAGUAAUAAUCCAAAUCAGAACCUCUGGAGAGUAAAUUAUUGUACUUCGCAAAUGAAUAUGUUAAAAGUCAGAAUGAUCGAGAAUUUGAGAUCAUCCAAAAACGCAUCACAAGUUGGAGUUGAACACCAAAACAUAGUCCUCUGGAAAGAUCUAACCAUUUGUAUAUCCUCCACUCUUUGACUAAUCUUUGCAGAACCACUACCCUCUUGCUUCUGCUGCAUCUAAAGGAGCACAAACACACACCAAAAGCGAGAUCAGCUUAAGAAUCGACUAGGACCUCAAAUCCACCUCAUAUUAGCUGAUGAUGAUGGAACUCAUGAUGAGAACGAGAAGACCACACGAGCGAUAGCCAUUCAAAUCUGACCUGCCUCAAAUCCCCUUUGACAUACAACACCCCAUGGAUCUCCACAUACCAGAUCCAGUCCUGCAACCAACCCAUGAAAGCCAACACAAAUGGACCAACCAUCAAGACACUGACCUGACACCAUGACACGUACAAACAACAGAUAGCAAUGGGCAGGAAGACUAACGCAGGGAUCAAGAGUACAGAUAACCAAUAAAACCACAAAGAGUAGUAGAUGGCAAACCAGACGAUUUUAACAGAUUCAGGCUCGCUACCAGCAUUGCCUUAGGCCAAAAUAAAUCUGCAACGACAUGGAGGGCAGAAGCAAAAACCUAAAUCAAAGACAUGAACAUGUAGCCGAAUUAAAUAAAGAUUAAAAUAAGAGAUUUGAGUUUUUUUCCGGUUGUAGGAUGUGCCACUAGUUUGAAGCUUCAUUUUUGCAACUUCGCAGCUAAAUCUGAAUUUGAAAUAUUGCCUAGUAAGAAAUCUUAGUACUAUAAUCUAAGUUAAGGAAUUGAGAAGAUAGAUUUAGAAGAACUGCAAACUCAGCAUAAGGUAGGUUGCCUUGAGUUCGUGAACUACGACCUGCAACGAGCAAGAUACCUUUCUAUAAAUGUUUCAGUUAGGGAGAGAACUGGAUUAAAUGAUGAUGAGUUAAGAUAAAAUAAAGUAAGCCUGUAUCGACUGGGAAGGUCAGGUAGACAAGCUCCAAUUAUAUCCCUUGCAAGGCACCAUCUGCAAGAGCUGAGAAUGACUAAGGCAGGGAAACUAAUGUUUGCUGAGAUAUAAUUAUUUCAAUAAGAAAGGUCCAGAAAGUUUAUCCCCAUAAGAAGAAACGCCAUGCUGAGCCAAAAUAGGACCACCCGCCGCUAGGCUAUGUAAUUCCAGUUUCUGGAGAGCCAGCAGCAUAUCAAAAUCAGAGUUGUUGGGGGACUAAUUGAAUUGUGGAGAAGAACAAAUUAAACAGAGUGAUAUCCCAGAAGAUAAGUGGCUCGCACUAGGCCCUUUGUAAUCCCAGUUUCUGGAUAAGCAGCAAAAUGUCCAAAUCAGAGUUGUACUGUAGUAGGCUAAAUUGAACCAAGAAACUAAAUUAGGAGGGAUUGAUGUGUAUUAUCCGAAUGCAGAUCGUGUAUUCCAGCCUAGGUUGGUAAGAGGUCGAAAGCUUGGAUCAUCCCAGAAGAUUUGAUCAUAUCAGAAUCCGUCGGACUGUAACCAAUCAAUCGAAAUAACCGUUGGACUGUAACCAAUCAUUCAGAAUAACCAUGAACAGAAAUCAAACCUCCGCCGCCCCUUCAUCUGUAUCAUCUCUCCAGAUCUAAGCGCUGGCCCUCUUGGUUCUGCAUCUAGGAUGAGAGCACAUACACCAAAAGCAGAUCAGCCGGUACAACAAGAAUCCACGAGGGCCUCGAAUUCACCUAGUGGGAACAUGGAACCGGAAGGACGCACGGGCGACCGCCGUUCAAUUCAAUUCAAUUCAAAUCUAAAACCACCGACGAGACGGACGCAGGUGACGGAACCAAGGAACCGAUCUGACCGAUCGAGCACGGGAAACUGACCUUGCUUCGGCCCUGGGGUCACCCGAGACCAAAUCAGACGCAGAGGCAAAACCGACCAGCUCGACGGAAUCCCCGAUCGAUCGAUCCCGGAGGCGGACGAGACGGGCCGAAUCCCCUGCGAGCACAGGAGGCAGAGGCGACGAGGAGCGAAAUCAAACGCGAUUCGAAACGAAUCGAGAAUUUGAUGGACAAGGGGGAGGAGACGGUCGCGGAGACGCGAGGGGGCGACUCAGGCGAUCGAGCGCGGAGGCGCGGCCGGAACGAAAGCUCCAAAGGAGAAGAGAGGAGGCCAGAGCGCGGGGAGGAGAGGGCGCACCGGGGCGCCUUUUGUAGACGGCGCAGAGGCGGUUUGGGGAGGGGAGGCCGGCCUGGCGCCAACCGGUUCCUUACCGGACACGGCUUCGCCGCGCUGGCGUGCCCGCCCGCCGGUUAGGCAAGGCAUCAUUGUGCUUUGCGGGCACGUUUUCUUUCUCUUUUUUUUGAAGGACGGGCACGUUUUCUUUAGGGGAAUUGCGGGUGGAGCUGGUGAGAUCGGGCUGGAUCCGGACCGGGUUUGGUUU
rnacentral:lncRNA from 1 species